GAAUGACAUGACGAUUAUUUAUUUCCCUAUUGGUUUGAUUGCCAGGAUGAUGGCGCUAUUGUAUUAGCUCUAUCUGAUCAUUC
rfam:Vigna angularis cultivar Jingnong 6 scaffold223_41, whole genome shotgun sequence.